rnacentral:lncRNA from 1 species
GUAACUGAGACUCCACCUAUAGGUUAAAAAUAAACACAACAUCAGAAAAGCAAAAAUUAAUGAAUAUACACAUGUGCAAAUAUGUUUGCAUUGACAGUCAAAAUCCCAAAAAAAUUGACUAGAAUUAAAUCAAUACCUAAAAGGAAGAAGGAUAGAAGUUGCUGGUAUGAACUAAGAACAUUACCACGCAGACUUCUUAGAGACAGCAACAAACCAUGACUAUUGCCUUCCACAUAUGGGGUGGAGGAAUAAAUCAGCAGUAUAAAAAUAAAAACCCAUUGCUGUAAGGACCGUUCCUGAACAUUCUAUUGGGUAUAAUCCAAUGAUAAUAAACUCAGCAUUAAUAAAAAGCAUAUUUUUUUCCACCACAAUCAAGGGUUGAAUUAGUUCACUAUAUCUAAUCAACCUUAGCAGUAAACAAAACCUCUUUACUUACUAAAACACCUUUAGCUUCUCUUGAACUAUCUCUAGCAUCAGAACAGCAAAAGUAUGAAUAUACACGUGCAAUGGUAUAUUUUUUUAGCUUUUGUACUUCAAAGAAGAAUAAUUGACCAUCAAUUUAACCGGGUUGUUUAUAGAUUGAUUCGUGGAUCUUCAAUCAAGUAGUCCAAAAAAAUUAAGGGUUUUUGCGAAUUCGAAAUCAAAUCACCGAAAAUCUAAUUCUAUAAUUUGAACCCAUUUUUUAGAAAAAUAGUCACUAAUCUUCUACAAUUGAGAGACGGGAGUGUGUGAGAGAGACCUUGGUGUGGCUGAUAUGGCGUCCACGUUGAAUCAAUUGUCUACUUCGAUUUUUGUUGAACUGGUACGUCUUCUUCGAUUGGGUGCCGUUGUCGCAGAGAGACGCUGUGGUAGGGUUGAGCCGCCGCGGUUGAGAGACGUGGUCCUCUCUUCUCCCUCUUUCCCUCCCUCACGUUGUGUUUUGGUCCUCUGGAGUCUGGACAUCUAAGGUUUUCUUCAAAAAUUUUUUUUUUUAAUUAGGGGUUAAGUGGGUGGGGCCCACAUAUGACAUCAGCGCCACAUCAGCGG